GGGGGAUAUUGCGCAAUGGGGGCAACCCUGACGCAGCAACGCCGCGUGAAGGAUGAAGGUUUUCGGAUUGUAAACUUCUUUUAUUAAGGACGAAACUUGACGGUACUUAAUGAAUAAGCUCCGGCUAACUACGUGCCAGCAGCCGCGGUAAUACGUAGGGAGCAAGCGUUGUCCGGAUUUACUGGGUGUAAAGGGUGCGUAGGCGGCUUUGCAAGUCAGAUGUGAAAUCUAUGGGCUCAACCCAUAAACUGCAUUUGAAACUGUAGGGCUUGAGUGAAGUAGAGGCAGGCGGAAUUCCCCGUGUAGCGGUGAAAUGCGUAGAGAUGGGGAGGAACACCAGUGGCGAAGGCGGCCUGCUGGGCUUUAACUGACGCUGAGGCACGAAAGCGUGGGUAGCAAACAGGAUUAGAUACCCUGGUAGUCCACGCUGUAAACGAUGAUUACUAGGUGUGGGGGGUCUGACCCCUUCCGUGCCGGAGUUAACACAAUAAGUAAUCCACCUGGGGAGUACGGCCGCAAGGUUGAAACUCAAAGGAAUUGACGGGGGCCCGCACAAGCAGUGGAGUAUGUGGUUUAAUUCGAAGCAACGCGAAGAACCUUACCAGGUCUUGACAUCCAACUAACGAAGUAGAGAUACAUUAGGUGCCCUUCGGGGAAAGUUGAGACAGGUGGUGCAUGGUUGUCGUCAGCUCGUGUCGUGAGAUGUUGGGUUAAGUCCCGCAACGAGCGCAACCCUUGCUAUUAGUUGCUACGCAAGAGCACUCUAAUAGGACUGCCGUUGACAAAACGGAGGAAGGUGGGGACGACGUCAAAUCAUCAUGCCCCUUAUGACCUGGGCUACACACGUACUACAAUGGAUGUUAACAGAGGGAAGCAAGACAGCGAUGUGGAGCAAACCCCUAAAAACAUUCUCAGUUCAGAUUGCAGGCUGCAACCCGCCUGCAUGAAGAUGGAAUUGCUAGUAAUCGCGGAUCAGCAUGCCGCGGUGAAUACGUUCCCG
rnacentral:rRNA from 1 species